AUAAAUACAUUCGCUUGUAAAAUUGCACUGAAAAAAAUCAAUACUCUACACACCAGUCAAAGAGCCUUAAAAGUCAUUCCAUUUAUAAAUAUUUGUAUUCUAGUCAAAGCUCUUUGAUCUAAUUAGUCAAAAACAGUCAAAUCUCUGCAUAGUUCUGACCCUUUGCUGACUCUGUCACUCAGCUGCCUCCGGCGACGUCCAAGCCUACCAAAUCCGUGCCGCCCCUGCCAGCACCAUCGCCCCUGGGGUCGUUAUGGCCUCAUCCCCGGCACUCCCCACCCAGGGUGCCACAGAAGAGGUCACCAGGAAGCGGGAGGUCCGCCUCAUGAAAAACAGGUAGGAGCUGGCGAGCCUUUUAGAGGCAAUUCUACGAGGGUUCGGCUUAAAGGGACGUCCAGCCUGCGUGCUGCUGUGAAGCUGUGAAGAUGACCCGUCCUGUUCUCCCUGCAGAGAGGCGGCGCGAGAGUGUCGAAGGAAGAAGAAGGAGUACGUGAAAUGUUUGGAGAACAGAGUGGCGGUGCUGGAGAACCAAAACAAGACGCUAAUUGAAGAACUGAAAGCACUGAAAGACCUUUACUGUCAUAAAUCUGAGUAAACCUCCUCGAACUCUGAUCUGGAUUCAUUCACAUGGAAGGGUCACUAAUGAAAGUGCCAACUAAAUCUAAAUCAACAAGCGACUGUCCAGAAGGUCAUCAUGACGUUGGUACACAUCAGUCAUGUUAUCACUGCAGCAAAUCACUUCACCAGUGGCUGGUUUACAGCUGCCGUCUCCACCAUAAAUCCUCUCCAACACAAGAGCCAUCAGCCCAAAGGAGCUUUCCUUCUUCUUCACCUUUGUGUGUUUGGUUUGCAAUGGGCAUCGUCCUGUCCUGAAUCCCAGCUGAGAUUGGAGGGACAUAAGACACCAGCCUGGAUUUCUUCUUUAAAAAUUAAGCAGCAGGAGAUCUGUCAGAGCUGCCUCAAGCUCCUCCAAAGUUUGGGUUUGGAGGCUCAGGCAUGUCAGCAGAAGUGAAGCCUGUAGCAAAAAGCAUCACGGAGGAUCUUGGUGCCUAAAAAAGCCACGAAACUUUCGCCAGAUCUCAGCAUCCGACUGUUUAUCAUUUGUUUCUGUCAAGGGAACAGAAGAAAAAAAACGUUCUGUUCAAUGACAGCUUUUUUUUUUAAAUCAUUUGCAUUUUAGUUCUUUAGGUAGCAAUAAUGUUCCAUCCAAGCAUCCCAGUGGUUGUGAUGGUUACCUGCACUUUAUUUUACUUUGUGGUCAAGUUUAGCAGUUUAACUAGAAAUCCACUUUCUCAGGUCUUAUGCCUGACUUUAUUUUAUUUUAUUUUUUGCCAAAUAAAUGUCGAUCAUUUAGACAACGACACCAUAAGAGCAAAAGCUUGUUACAAAAAAACAAACUUUUGAUAUUACAGUAAUUGAAUGAAUUUACGUAAUAAAAUGUUUUUUUUAAUGCUGAAGUGCAUUUAAUUUAAAAAUGUUAAGUCUUAGCAAAGAAUGUUUUUUUAGUAGGAAGCUGAAUUUAUUCUAUGUUUUUCUUUUCUUUUUUUUAAACAAAUACCUACAUACUUUUUUUUUGACAGCAACUGCAUUUUUAAAAGAUUAAUACACUGAUAAUAAUCCUAUGAUAUUCUAGCAUUAGAACCAAAUUGACGUUUUUCGAACUUCCAGUCCAGAUUUAUUCACUUUGAUCAACUUAUGGCUCAUUUAAACCUUUUGUUCUGUAGUGAAGUGAAGCAAUAUUGUAGUGACGCAAAGGAUUUCUCUAUGAAAAAGACAGAAAAGAUCUUUUCACAUUGACAUAUCAGUUCACGGUUAAUUUGUGACCUACUUUUGGAAGCAUUUGUGUCGAUGGUUGUGGAGAAUCGCAGCUUCGUUUGUGUGUGAAGCACCUUUUGUGUUACUCUGUUCUCACGUCUCCUACCAAGGGAACACUGCAGAAAGAAAUCCAGAAGAAAACCAAAGUCUGUCAUAAAAAAUGUCUCAUUGCACAUAUUAUACAGUAAGUAAAGCAUUCUCCCUGAUUUGAGAGCGUUACUAUCUUCUGUUUUGAGGGCUCGUGUUCUCCUCCUUUAACCAGAAAGUGACAUUAACAUCUGCUCCUAGACGUCUAACUUCUCUAGCAGAUAACAUCCUCUCAGAUCUGAACCAUUCUCCUCAUGUUUGGGCUUUAAAACGGACUGUUUUUAGCUUUUGUUUGCACAUCUGUGCUCAAGCCACUUCUCCUCUUGUAGACUUUUUGACAAGUUAUUGAAAACAAAGAUAAACGAGCAGCUGGUAUUUAGUACAAGCCAGAGUUUUAAAGAGCCACUCCGAUCAUAUUUGGUUCUAUUGUUAACGUCUUCACUCUUGAUUAGGCUCUUUUUAGCCACCAAAAAAACAACUGUCAUUUUGUAGGACAUAGUUUUUCUGCAGAGCGACAGUAGUUCAUCAGAAAUGUACUGAUGUAAUGUAAUGCAAAUGUAAUGCAACCCCCCCCCCCCCUGUUGCUAAGAGAGCUUGUGGAAUUGGCCAGAAUAUUUUCUACAUCCCAUAUUUGAUCUUUUUUAAACGGCAUUUUCUUCCUCUUCUUCUGAUUCACAACCAUUUGAAGAAGGAACUACUCAGAAAUGCAGUUUUAAGCUUCAUUAUACCUUUAUAUAUAUUUUAUAUAUAUUUAUAAAUAUAUAUAUAUAUGUCCUCCAUCAUGAGAAAAAUGCAACUUGAAUUUAAAAUCCAUCGGAGUGAGUCUUUAAGGUUAUGAAAACUCAGAGCAUGUUGUCUUUUUGAGAGCAUGACAGAAACACUACAAUACUUAGAUGAAAGCUCUCCAAACAAAAACUACACUCCUGAUUAAAACUGUGAUUAACCCCAGAAAUACUUUGGAAUAUUUGGGCUCAAUCUUUUAUUUUUAUUUUUUUGCAUUUUGACCACUUUUGUUUGUUUGUUUUGUUUGGAUCUUUGCAUAUAUUUGUACCCACUACUUUAUAUGAACUGAGGUUUUAAAGUGCAUCCUGUUAAAAACAAAAGGUUGCUUUUGCGUGUGAAGAAACGUACAUAUUAGUGUGUAUUUUCUAUGAUUGUACAUAGACGCUACAGCAUGAGUACGUCAUAUUUCAGUUUGAUAUGAAAGUGUUCCUAUAGAUUGUAUAAAACCAGCUUUACAUAUUUGUAAUAUAAGUGUAUAAUUGUGUAUAUGUAUACACCAGGACUGGCGUCGUCAUGGCAGCUAGUAAUGAGAAAGGUCUUUGUAGGAUUUGAGGCGCUGUUCUCUUUUAGGUCAGCAGGGUUUGUUUGUUUGUUUGUUUGUUUGUUUGUUUGUUUGUUUGUUUGUUUGUAAAGAUGUGAGACAGUAUUGGCAUCCAGAAAAUGUAUUUGUUUUUAUAGUUUUGUUAAGUGAUACUUAUGUCAAAAACAUGAAAUAUAUUUUGUUUUAUCAUUUUUCUAAACAAAUAUCUAAUUUUUGUCGUUUUUGUUUGAAACUGUCCUGUUAACUUUGCCUGCAGAGGUCAUGUGAUUUAGCCAUUUCAGAUCUUUCGCGUCUGACAUUAUGAGGGAAUUACUGUCAUUAUGCCUAGAAGAAAUGAUUCCAACUUACUUGUUUACAGAGUUUUCCCUUUUUUUUUUUUAAUGAAAUACCUAAAUGCUAAAAUUAAUCGUAUCAUUUUUGUUUUUUUAAGGCACUUUAGUUCAUUCUGUUCAUAUUAUGUCGGACUACGUUUCCCAUGACUGCUUGGAGAAAUGUUUACAAAAUAAAAGCAUGAGUGUCUCAUCCUUUGUUUCAUAGGACAGACUAAAAUCCAACAAAACUUUGUGCAUAUCUCACUUAAAGCACAUUUCAUAGAGGAUGAGUGAUUUGUAAAAAACAAAAACAAAAAAAUCAUUAAUAACCCUGUGAUCAACUCUUUAGGUACUGGUGCCGUUACGAUAUGCGAGUUACUGAAAUGAAGUGUUUUCUUGGAGAAUAAACAACCUUUUUACCCCGUGUGAGCCCCACGUUCAGUGCUCGUGCCGAGGAAGAUAUCGUAAUAACCCUUUUUGAUGUGAGUUUGUAUUUGUACGUUUGAUGUAAUGGCACAAGUUUUCCUAUAAUGCCAACUGUGUUCUUUUUCCUUUUUUUUACUUGUGUGACAGAUUCUAGAGCCUAAACUUCUGCAUGUAACCGAUUUGCUCCAUGUGUGUAGAAGUAUUCACAUACAUUCAUAAACACGCACGAGUUUGAAAAGAGAUACAAUUUUCUUUCCAACUUUUAAUGUGAUCUGUCUAUAUUUUGUCACUUUUAGAAGCUAUAUAAAUAAAUACCAGAUAUUGUAUAUUGACCUGUAGAAACGAGUUCGCCAAAUGAUGCAUUAUUCUUGUUUUUUGACAUUGUACUUUUCUGAAACUAUACCAGCCCAUUAUUUUUUAAGUUACUCUAAUAAUGCAUAAAGUUUUGUAAACAUUUGCUAUGUUACAAUAAACUGAUCUUGGAGAUUGUACUGUUUUAUUCUGGUCUGUUGUGACAUUGUUUGUGACAUUUAUUUUGGCUUUAAAUCUAUGAUUUGGUCACUACUUUGCUGCUAAAUAUAGAUCAAAUUGAAUACCAAAACUAUGGGGGUUAAAUCAAAUUUUUAAAUCAUCUGCACUUUUUUCUAUUUUUGGUAACACAUUAAGUUAUUUAGGUUCACAUACAUAGAGAAGUAAAAGGCACAAUAUGUAAAAUAUCCAUAUAGAAUAAAGAAGCUUUAUUUAUUACAGAUGUAAGGUCCAUUUGCCACAAUAAACAAAAUAAAAUAAAAAGAAAAAAAACAAGUAUAAAAACAAUGACACAAAAGUAAAAAAAAACAAUAAAAUAAAAUAACCAAGUAUCAUUAACUUAAAAAAAAAAGACUGUGGAAAAACUAUUGUAGACUAAAAAACUUUAAAGUUUAAAAAAGGCGACCACACUAAAACCUCCAAAUAGGGGACUGCUAUCUAAAAGUGCUGUACCGUACAUUGGUGAAAUAGUUUUUUUUGAAGCAAAGACGAUAAAUGAAACCAUAAAUAACAUGUCUUGGAAAGUCUUAAUUUUUGCACCAACAAACAAUCUGCUUCUGCUGUUUUAAUCAAAUCUUUAGAAUUCUCCAGGCUGGAGAAGCUGAUCAGGCGGGCUGGCUCUGUGGUUGGCACAAGGCUGGACCCUCUGGCUACUGUGGCAGAGAGAAGGACACUCAAAAAACUGACAGGUAUCCUGGACAAUACCACCCACUCUCUGCACACGACCAUCAGUAGCCAGAGAAGCACCUUCAGUAAGAGGCUGCUCCUCCCAAGGUGCAGGACUAAUAGACUGAGGAACUCCUUUGUCCCCCGUGCCAUCAAACUCUUCAACCUCCACUUAGGAGGGGGGAGGAAGACGGAAAAGGAAAGGGAAAGGGCCUGAAUGACUUUUUUUGUAUAUACUGUUUUGCAGAUAUUUAAAUUGUUUGUUACUGUUCUAAUCUUCCUAAUUUUUUCU
ensembl:lncRNA